UAUGCUAUGACAUUUUUGUAAAAUGUUAUGCUUUACUAUACUAUGACGUAUUAUGACGUUUUUAUACCUUACUUUACUGUGACUUUUUUCACGUUUUUAUGCCUCAUUAUGCUAUGAUGUUUCCUUCCUAUUCUCAUAGUCAUAGUAUAGGAAGAGAUAAAAAAUCAGGAACCUGUUGUGAGUGGAUGAGUCAUGAGAUCAACCAGCUGUUUACAGAUACAAACACAUGUGAACCAGUGAGCUGAGGACACCGACUCUGUCAUUGACUGACUCACAGUUUGUUACAACAACUCAUUAAACUAUGUGGUCACAUGACCUCUAUGUGCAGUUAUUGUAGAGACAGAGCGGAGAAACCAUGAUGCUUUCACUGACUGUUGGACACACUGAGCUGCAGGUGAACAGUUACGUGACUUUGAAUCUGUUUUCACCUCUAAAACUUGCAUUACUACAUUUCUAAGUGUGUGUAGACUACAAGUCCUACAGACGCUGAGUGGACAUCAGUUCCCCUCCCCUCCUCCUCUGUCAGCACCACAUCAGGUCAGGCUGCAUGAAUUCAUGUCGGUCUCAGGUUUCUUCAGUCUUGUUUGAUUCUCCCAGGGAAGAAGAUGGCGGCUAAAAUCCUGACCAGGACACAGGACAAUAGUCUCAGCUGAGUCAGUAACCCAGCAACAGGAAGACCCUCUCAGCGCCGGCUGUGAACCCGCCCAUCCAGGAUGUCAAACACACACAACACACACUGAUUACACAGAGUGCUCCAUGAAUAGAGUCCAGCCUGUGACGGAAACUGCUUCCUAACACAUCAGGUGAUAAUGUCCGGUGGGUCUACAGCUCGCUCUGCUGCCCCCUCGUGGCCAAGACAACUUCCUUUCCCACCGUCCCCGCUGACCAUCAGAAACUGGCUCCAUGAAAAAGACUCAAUCACCAUCAAAUCACUGAACACAGUUGAUCCAGAAACAUUCAGUGUGUUGAUUUUUUAACAAACGUUUAGCUAAUAGCUUAGCCAAGCUAACCAGCUAAGUGACCGGUGACCUUGUAUUAGGCUAACUUGCUUUAAAUGCCAUGCUGGAGCUAAAUGCUGUGAUGUUCCCGUUAGCUUCUAUGUUUUCAUGCUAGCAGUAAUGGUGGAAACAGCAGUAGCAUGACCGUCUGUUUGUAUGUGUGAGUUUUAUAUUUCCCUGUUGGUAAAUAAAAAGGCCGAGGAUCCAA